rnacentral:sRNA from 1 species
GCCAGGUGUGGUGGUUCACUCCUGUAAUCCCAGCAACUCAGGAGGCUGAGGCAGGAGGAUUUCAAGUUGGAGACCAGCCUCAA